rnacentral:rRNA from 1 species
UGGGGAAUAUUGCACAAUGGGCGCAAGCCUGAUGCAGCCAUGCCGCGAUGUAUGAAGAAGGCCUUCGGGUUGUAAAGUACUUUCAGCGAGGAGGAAGGCGUUGUGGUUAAUAACCGCAGCGAUUGACGUUACUCGCAGAAGAAGCACCGGCUAACUCCGUGUCAGCAGCCGCGGUAAAUACGGAGGGUGCAAGCGUUAAUCGGAAUUACUGGGCGUAAAGCGCACGCAGGCGGUCUGUCAAGUCGGAUGUGAAAUCCCCGGGCUCAACCUGGGAACUGCAUCCGGAAACUGGCAGGCUAGAGUCUUG